rnacentral:rRNA from 1 species
GAUGAACGCCGGCGGCGUGCCUAAUACAUGCAAGUCGAGCGAACGGACGAGAAGCUUGCUUCUCUGAUGUUAGCGGCGGACGGGUGAGUAACACGUGGAUAACCUACCUAUAAGACUGGGAUAACUUCGGGAAACCGGAGCUAAUACCGGAUAAUAUUUUGAACCGCAUGGUUCAAAAGUAAAAGACGGUCUUGCUGUCACUUAUAGAUGGAUCCGCGCUGCAUUAGCUAGUUGGUAAGGUAACGGCUUACCAAGGCAACGAUGCAUAGCCGACCUGAGAGGGUGAUCGGCCACACUGGAACUGAGACACGGUCCAGACUCCUACGGGAGGCAGCAGUAGGGAAUCUUCCGCAAUGGGCGAAAGCCUGACGGAGCAACGCCGCGUGAGUGAUGAAGGUCUUCGGAUCGUAAAACUCUGUUAUUAGGGAAGAACAUAUGUGUAAGUAACUGUGCACAUCUUGACGGUACCUAAUCAGAAAGCCACGGCUAACUACGUG